AACUCUAAUCCAACGAAGUGGACAACAUAGACAAAAUGGUCACAUUCAUAGAAAUAUGCAUUCUUCUAAUACUCAAUGAUGAAUAAUCGAAAAACCUCAAUUGGCUGAUAACUAUGAAUGAAAUUUAAGCAGUAAUCAAAAAUCUUCCAACAGACAAAAGCCCAGGUCCAGACAACUUCACAGGGGAGUUUUACCAAACAUUCAAAGAAGAACUAAACUCUAUUCUACUCAGACUAUUCUAAAAAAAUCAAGAGGGAGGAACACUUCUAAGCUCCUUCUAUGAAGCCAGCAUCACCCUAAUACCAAAACCAGAUAAAGUCAACACAAUGAAAGAGUAUAGGCCAAUAUCCACCAUGAACAUAGAUGCAAAAUCCUCAACAAAAUUCUAGCAAAUCGGAUACAACAGUACAUGAGAAAGAUCAUAUACCAUAACCAAGCAUGAUUUAUCUAGGAGAUGUUAGGAUGGUACAAUACCCACAAAUUAAUAAACGUGAUACAUCAUAUAAACAAAUUGAG